rnacentral:rRNA from 1 species
GACGAACGCUGGCGGCGUGCUUAACACAUGCAAGUCGAACGGAAAGGCCCUGCUUUUGUGGGGUGCUCGAGUGGCGAACGGGUGAGUAACACGUGAGUAACCUGCCCUUGACUUUGGGAUAACUUCAGGAAACUGGGGCUACUACCGGAUAGGAGCUCCUGCUGCAUGGUGGGGGUUGGAAAGUUUCGGCGGUUGGGGAUGGACUCGCGGCUUAUCAGCUUGUUGGUGGGGUAGUGGCUUACCAAGGCUUUGACGGGUAGCCGGCCUGAGAGGGUGACCGGCCACAUUGGGACUGAGAGACGGCCCAGACUCCUACGGGAGGCAGUAGUGGGGAAUAUUGCACAAUGGGCGGAAGCCUGAUGCAGCAACGCCGCGUGCGGGAUGACGGCCUUCGGGUUGUAAACCGCUUUCGCCUGUGACGAAGCGUGAGUGACGGUAAUGGGUAAAGAAGCACCGGCUAACUACGUG